AUUGAACGCUGGCGGCAGGCUUAACACAUGCAAGUCGAGCGGGGUGAUGGUGCUUGCACUAUCACUUAGCGGCGGACGGGUGAGUAAUGCUUAGGAAUCUGCCUAUUAGUGGGGGACAACAUCUCGAAAGGGAUGCUAAUACCGCAUACGUCCUACGGGAGAAAGCAGGGGAUCACUUGUGACCUUGCGCUAAUAGAUGAGCCUAAGUCGGAUUAGCUAGUUGGUGGGGUAAAGGCCUACCAAGGCGACGAUCUGUAGCGGGUCUGAGAGGAUAGUCCGCCACACUGGGACUGAGACACGGCCCAGACUCCUACGGGAGGCAGCAGUGGGGAAUAUUGGACAAGGGGGGGAACCCUGAUCCAGCCAUGCCGCGUGUGUGAAGAAGGCCUUAUGGUUGUAAAGCACUUUAAGCGAGGAGGAGGCUCUUUUGGUUAAUACCCAAGAUGAGUGGACGUUACUCGCAGAAUAAGCACCGGCUAACUCUGUGCCAGCAGCCGCCGUAA
rnacentral:rRNA from 1 species